AUUUUGGUAACAUAUGAGGCGGCCUCGGGCCAAAAGGUAAAUUUGCAGAAGUCGUCCAUAUUUUUUGGCAAGGGAUGCCCGGACACCACAAAAGAAGAGCUCAAAUCGGUUUUGGGUGUGUCCUCAGAGGCUCUAAGUGAGAGGUACCUCGGUCUCCCAACACUGGUUGGAAGAUCCAAGGAGGGCACUUUUCAGUAUGUCACAGAGAGCUCAAAAGGAAAAUGUAGUGGCUGGAAGGGUUUAGGUCUUUUCCAAGAAGGCAAGGGAGGUUCUUAUCAAGUCUGGACUCCAAUCCGUGCCUACUUUCACCAUGAGUUGUUUCCACCUCACAAAGAAAACGUGCCGGAAUCUGAAUUCUAUCUCUUCAAAAUUCUGGUGGGGGGCAAAGGAUGGUGA
rnacentral:rRNA from 1 species